rnacentral:lncRNA from 1 species
UAAUUUAAACAGCAAAACAACCGCCGCCGAUAUGUAAUUAAUUUUUUCGUAGAUUCAAUGCCAUUAUUACUGAAAAAGAAUCGAUUCAUGACGUCUCAGUAUAAAAUAAUUAUAAAGUCACCAUUUAAAAGUAAAUCAGUGCUUCAACGCCGACUUUCACCAAUGUCAUCACUUUCUGUGAGAAUAAUACAGACGAAUCGCAUCCAACACCAUCACACAACCCAAAACUCUCAAAACAAAAAUAAACAAAUAAGAAUAUCAAAAUAAAAUAAAAUAAAAUAAAAGAUCUUGAAACAGUUUCACCCAAAAACAUCAAAUCUAUAAAAAGGAGGAAAUAUAUAAAAACUACCACAGUCAAGUGAAUGUAUCGAGAUAAAUAAAUUCCUUCACCGUAAGCUCCUUUUCAAUUCUCUUCUCUCU